UACGUAGGGAGCAAGCGUUUGUCCGGAAUCAUUGGGCGUAAAGCGCGCGUAGGCGGCCCCGUAAGUCCGCUGUGAAAGUCAAAGGCUCAACCUUUGAAAGCCGGUGGAUACUGUGGGGCUAGAGUCCGGAAGAGGCGAGUGGAAUUCCUGGUGUAGCGGUGGAAUGCGCAGAUAUCAGGAGGAACACCAGUGGCGAAGGCGGCGACCUGGGCCAAUAUUGACGCUGAGGUGCGAAAGCGUGGGGAGCAAACAGG
rnacentral:rRNA from 1 species